GAUUUACUUCGGUAAUGACGUUGGGAAAGCGAGCGGCGGAUGGGUGAGUAACACGUGGGGAACCUGCCCCUAAGUCUGGGAUACCAUUUGGAAACAGGUGCUAAUACCGGAUAAUAAAGCAGAUCGCAUGAUCAGCUUUUGAAAGGCGGCGUAAGCUGUCGCUAAGGGAUGGCCCCGCGGUGCAUUAGCUAGUUGGUAAGGUAACGGCUUACCAAGGCGACGAUGCAUAGCCGAGUUGAGAGACUGAUCGGCCACAUUGGGACUGAGACACGGCCCAAACUCCUACGGGAGGCAGCAGUAGGGAAUCUUCCACAAUGGACGCAAGUCUGAUGGAGCAACGCCGCGUGAGUGAAGAAGGUUUUCGGAUCGUAAAGCUCUGUUGUUGGUGAAGAAGGAUAGAGGUAGUAACUGGCCUUUAUUUGACGGUAAUCAACCAGAAAGUCACGGCUAACUACGUGCCAGCAGCCGCGGUAAUACGUAGGUGGCAAGCGUUGUCCGGAUUUAUUGGGCGUAAAGCGAGCGCAGGCGGAAAAAUAAGUCUAAUGUGAAAGCCCUCGGCUUAACCGAGGAACUGCAUCGGAAACUGUUUUUCUUGAGUGCAGAAGAGGAGAGUGGAACUCCAUGUGUAGCGGUGGAAUGCGUAGAUAUAUGGAAGAACACCAGUGGCGAAGGCGGCUCUCUGGUCUGCAACUGACGCUGAGGCUCGAAAGCAUGGGUAGCGAACAGGAUUAGAUACCCUGGUAGUCCAUGCCGUAAACGAUGAGUGCUAAGUGUUGGGAGGUUUCCGCCUCUCAGUGCUGCAGCUAAC
rnacentral:rRNA from 1 species